rnacentral:rRNA from 1 species
ACGCUGGCUACAGGCUUAACACAUGCAAGUCGUGGGGAAACGGCAUUAUGUGCUUGCACAUUCUGGACGUCGACCGGCGCACGGGUGAGUAUCGCGUAUCCAACCUGCCCCUUACUUGGGGAUACCCCGUUGAAAGACGGCCUAAUACCCGAUGUGUUUCAUUGACGGCAUCCGAUAUGAAACAAAGGUUUUCCGGUAAGGGAUGGGGAUGCGUCUGAUUAGCUUGUUGGCGGGGUAACGGCCCACCAAGGCGACGAUCAGUAGGGGUUCUGAGAGGAAGGUCCCCCACAUUGGAACUGAGACACGGUCCAAACUCCUACGGGAGGCAGCAGUGAGGAAUAUUGGUCAAUGGACGCAAGUCUGAACCAGCCAAGUAGCGUGCAGGAUGACGGCCCUAUGGGUUGUAAACUGCUUUUACGUGGGAAUAAAGUGGCGCACGUGUGCGCCAUUGCAUGUACCUCAUGAAUAAGGACCGGCUAAUUCCGUGCCAGCAGCCGCGGUAAUACGGAAGGUCCGGGCGUUAUCCGGAUUUAUUGGGUUUAAAGGGAGUGUAGGCGGUCUGUUAAGCGUGUUGUGAAAUUUAGGUGCUCAACAUUUAACUUGCAGCGCGAACUGUCAGACUUGAGUACACGCAGCGCAGGCGGAAUUCAUGGUGUAGCGGUGAAAUGCUUAGAUAUCAUGAGGAACUCCGAUCGCGAAGGCAGCCUGCGGGAGUGUUACUGACGCUUAAGCUCGAAGGUGCGGGUAUCGAACAGGAUUAGAUACCCUGGUAGUCCGCACAGUAAACGAUGGAUGCCCGCCGUUGGCGCCCUGCGCCUGCGGCCAAGCGAAAGCAUUAAGCAUCCCACCUGAGGAGUACGCCGGCAACGGUGAAACUCAAAGGAAUUGACGGGGGCCCGCACAAGCGG